UCGAGGGAACUGAGCCGGCAAAAAGCGAUCCAGUACACCCAAAGUAAAAGGUCCGAGAAAGACAAACCCACGCGCACGCGCACGGCUACAAAUUUUGGUCUCCACUCUCCAGGAACUGAGCCAGCGAGCGACGGAGAUGGCUGCGAAGGUGCCCUGCUGCGGGACGACGUUCUUUAUUUACGUGCUGAUAAUCAUAGGCCUGGUUUGCUUCGCCGGAUUGAUGGCCGGACUCACUCUCGGCCUCAUGUCCCUCGGCCUCGUCGACCUCGAGGUCCUCAUGAAGUCCGGCCAACCUCAGGAUCGCAAGCACGCCGCUAAAAUCUAUCCGGUGGUGAAGAAUCAGCACCUGUUACUUUGCACGCUUUUAAUCGGAAACGCGUUAGCAAUGGAGGCUCUUCCGGUUUUUUUGGAUAGUCUUGUGCCUCCUUGGGCGGCUAUUGUGAUAUCAGUCACUCUCAUUCUGGUGUUUGGGGAGAUAUUGCCACAAGCAGUGUGCACUCGCUUUGGAUUGACUGUUGGGGCGGCAAUGGCCCCGUUUGUGCGUGUUCUUCUUGUUCUUUUCCUCCCCAUUUCGUAUCCCAUUAGUAAGGUUUUGGAUUAUAUGUUGGGUAAGGGACAUUCUGCCCUUUUACGAAGAGCAGAGCUAAAGACUUUUGUGGAUUUUCACGGAAAUGAGGCUGGGAAAGGCGGGGAUUUAACACAUGAUGAGACUACCAUCAUUGCUGGAGCACUUGAAAUGACUGAAAAGACUGCAAAAGAUGCCAUGACUCCCAUAUCAAAUGCAUUUUCCCUUGAUCUGGAUGCACCUCUUACUUUGGACACAUUGAAUGCAAUAAUGGCAAUGGGUCAUAGUAGAGUUCCAGUUUAUGCUGGGAAGCCCGGAAAUAUAAUUGGUCUAGUUCUGGUUAAGAAUCUCUUGAUGGUUGAUCCAGAAGAUGGAGUUACUUUAAGAAAACUGAUGAUACGAAAAAUUCCUCGGGUUUCGGAAGACAUGCCUCUGUAUGAUAUACUAAAUGAAUUUCAGAAAGGUCACAGUCACAUUGCUGUCGUCUAUAAGGAUAUAAGUGGGAAAAAGGAUGCACUAAAGAAUGGCAAGGAUGGUGAAACACCCGUGUUUAAGGAUGACUGUAAGAAGCAAGCAGGCGAAUCUGGGGCGUCAUUCAAGAAAGAUGAAAAAGUGGGUUCAAACAAUGCUCAGAGUGCCUUGGACAAUGGUGACGGAGGUCAACAAGCGAAGAAAAGCCCAUCAGCUACACCCGCUUUUAAGAAACGACACAGAGGCUGUUCACAUUGCAUUCUGGACGUUGAGAAUGGUCCCAUUCCAGUUUUCCCAGACAAUGAAGAGGUUGUAGGAGUAAUUACCAUGGAGGAUGUCAUUGAAGAACUUCUUCAGGAAGAGAUAUUGGACGAAACAGAUGAGUAUGUCAAUAUCCACAACAGGAUUAAGGUCAAUAUGCAUGCAUCUCAGGACAAGCCUUCUGACUCGAACUCAGCCGAUCCUUCCAGAGAGUGGUCAUCUGUCACUGACGCCCCACUGCUAACAUCAGCGUCAGUGCCAUCAGAUUUGGGUUCUACUCAACAUCAAGACGAUGGUAAGGUGUGAUGCCAACGGACUCACACACCGCAGCUCAUCAAGGUUCUGAACAUGACACGUCAAGAGAUCGCUAUUGUGUGCAGUACGCAUCCAUGGCGUGCCCGGAGGACAUAAACCCGAAACUUUCUCAUGACGGUCCUUUUUUCAUCAAUGGCGGUCGCCGCAAAGUGCAGAUAAAAUCCAACCUUCCUUCUUCCACGUGAGUUCCAGCCUCUGAGGUGACUGACACGACCACCUUAUCAGCAACGCCCCGACACGACAACAUAACUACCUCAAUCCUACAUAAAUCCAUCAUUUUUCAAUGUAUUUUUCUGAAGUUACUACGAACUGGUUUGGUAUUGAUGUG